rnacentral:rRNA from 1 species
CGGAAUGACUGGGCGUAAAGGGCGCGUAGGCGGAUAGUACAGUCAGAUGUGAAAGCCCCGGGCUCAACCCGGGAAGUGCACUCGAUACUGCCACGCUAGAGUAUCGGAGAGGUUGGUGGAAUUCUCGGUGUAGAGGUGAAAUUCGUAGAUAUCGAGAGGAACACCGGUGGCGAAGGCGGCCAACUGGACGAAUACUGACGCUGAGACUCGAAAGCGUGGGGAGCAAACAGG